AGCAUGUUUGACAUAUUUUUUAUUUGAUUGUACGACGAAAUCUUUACUUAUGACUAAAACAGUAUCAAAUAUUGGAUUAAUUUAUCAAUGAAAUGGUUACAAAUUUUUACUAUCAUUUAUUUCAGUUGUGUUGUUUAAUUCUCACGUCUUUCAAAUAUACAUUUUGAUUAACAUUUCAAAAUGAUUGUUAUUAUAAUAUGGUGUGGCUCAUUGGAUCAUUCAGUCGCCGUGUUAGCGUUAAUGCUCAGUUGCUAAAUUUGCGUUUGUUCAUGGAUGGGUGACCAUAUGGAAACUUCACAAUGACACACACCUUGACCUAUACUAGUUCCGUCAGACAUAAUGCGGUUGCGUCAAGUCAACAGCUGGUGCAAAAUUCCGUCAGAUCAUUAAGACCGACUUCAAAUAUUAUGGGGAAGAGGCUAAGGUGAUGAUGAUGAAUGAGCGUAUUUAAUACCAUUUUAACGAAAAUUCGAGUAUGGAUUAUUAAAUACGGGCCUAAAGUGAAUAAAUAAGCAACCUAAUUGAUUAUACUUACAAACUGCAUGAGAAAAAUAAUUGAAGUUAGUCGUUUGUUAGCAGAAAACAUAUCUUGCCCCGUGUAGCCGGGUACUCCUACCAGAAUCAAUGACCUACCUGUAAGUACAGACCGAUGAGUCAAACAUGCCGAAGGCGCAUAAGGACCGUAGGGUAUCAGGACUAGGUUGUAGUCUCAGUUAGGCAAAGCAGUGUAUGCAAUAAAAAUGUUAUUAAUUUUUUAUUUUAAGAAAAUAACUGCAAAAUCACUAUCGAGAGUCGUUCUUCUAACUAUUAUGCCUUCAAGCAACACAAUGCAAUUAACUCUAUCAAAAUACGUAACUUUUUCCCAGUAAAAUAAAUAAAGUAUGAAUGGCACUGACUGUUGAUUAUUUAUAAAUGAUAUCAUAAUAAAAUGAAAUGA